CGGGUGCGUAACACGUGAGCAACCUACCGAAAUGAGGGGGAUAGCCGUCCCAACGGACGGGUAAUACCGCAUACGCUCUUGUCCAGGCAUUUGGACUUGAGGAAACCUCCGGGGCAUUUCGAGGGGCUCGCGGCCUAUCAGCUAGUUGGUGAGGUAACGGCUCACCAAGGCGACGACGGGUAGCUGGUCUGAGAGGAUGGCCAGCCACAUUGGGACUGAGAUACGACCCAG
rnacentral:rRNA from 1 species